UAACGCGUAAAGAACUUGCCUCACAGAUAGGGACAACAUUUGGAAACGAAUGCUAAUACCUGAUAUUAUGAUUUUAGGGCAUCCUAGAAUUAUGAAAGCUAUAUGCGCUGUGAGAGAGCUUUGCGUCCCAUUAGUUAGUUGGAGAGGUAACGGCUCACCAAGGCGAUGAUGGGUAGCCGGCCUGAGAGGGUGAUCGGCCACAAGGGGACUGAGACACGGCCCUU
rnacentral:rRNA from 1 species